GAUGAACGCUGGCGGCGUACCUAACGCAUGCAAGUCGAACGGGGAUUUUUGUAGCAAUACGGAAAUUACUAGUGGCAAACGGGUGAGUAACACGUAGGGAUCUACCUCGAGGUGGGGAACAACGGACCGAAAGGUUCGCUAAUACCGCAUGUGCUCGUGAGAGCAAAGGUUGUUUCUAACGAAACGAUCGCCUUGAGAGGAGCCUGCGUUCGAUCAGGUAGUUGGUGAGGUAACGGCUCACCAAGCCGAUGACCGAUAGCUGUUCUGAGAGGAAGAUCAGCCACACUGGGACUGUGACACGGCCCAGACUCCUACGGGAGGGCAGCAGCGAGGAAUAUUGCACAAUGGACGCAAGUCUGAUGC
rnacentral:rRNA from 1 species